GGGAUUGAAGAGGACUUAGAUCUGAUCUAAAGACUCUUAUCAGGGACCCCUAACACUAAUGGCGCGAUGGACUUAGAGGAGGAAGAAGUCAGCUAGAUUGAAUGCAGAAUUUUUUCAUGCAUGAACUAGGGUUCCUCUCUUUUCUUUUCCCUUUUUUUUUCUUCUUUUUCUCUCUUUUUUCCUUGAAUUCAACCACCAGCUGAUGGAGGUCC
rnacentral:lncRNA from 1 species